rnacentral:pre_miRNA from 1 species
AAAGUACUCCCUCCCUCCCAAAUUUCUUGUCUUAGAUUUGUCUAGAUACGGAUGUAUCAAGUCACAUUUUAGUAUUAGAUACAUCCGUAUCUAGAAAAAUCUAAGACAAGAAAUUUGGGACAGAGGGAGUAGUUG